CCAGACUCCUACGGGAGGCAGCAGUGGGGAAUAUUGCACAAUGGGGGGAACCCUGAUGCAGCAAUGCCGCGUGAAGGAUGAAGGUUUUCGGAUUGUAAACUUCUUUUGUACGGGACGAAGAAAGUGACGGUACCUGAAGAAGAAGCCCCGGCUAACUACGUGCCAGCAGCCGCGGUAAUACGUAGGGGGCAAGCGUUAUCCGGAUUUACUGGGUGUAAAGGGGGCGCAGACGGCGAUGCAAGCCAGGAGUGAAAGCCCGGGGCCCAACCCCGGGACUGCUCUUGGAACUGCGUGGCUAGAGUGCAGGAGGGGCAGGCGGAAUUCCUGGUGUAGCGGUGAAAUGCGUAGAUAUCAGGAGGAACACCGGUGGCGAAGGCGGCCUGCUGGACUGCAACUGACGUUGAGGCCCGAAAGCGUGGGGAGCAAACAGGAUUAGAUACCCUAGUA
rnacentral:rRNA from 1 species